AUUGGCCAGAGCUGUUGUCUUUUGUGAUACAUUUUCAAAGAGUCAGGUUGUUUGGGAAUGCAGCCUAAAUUGGGUGGUAAAUCUCACCUAAAGCUAAAUAUUUGCGAGAGACCGAUAGCGAACAAGUACCGUGAGGGAAAGAUGAAAAGAACUUUGAAAAGAGAGUUAAACAGUAUGUGAAAUUGUUAAAAGGGAACCGUUUGGAGCCAGACUGGCUUAAUCGUAAUCAAUCUAGGCUUUGGCCUGGAUGCACUUGCGGUUUAUGCCGGCCAACGACAGUUUUGUUUGGGAGAAAAAAUUACAUUGAAUGUGGCCCCUCGGGGUGUUAUAGCUUUGUAAAAAAUAUCCUGGACUGGACUGAGGAACGCGGUUGUUG
rnacentral:rRNA from 1 species